AAUAAUGGAGAAUAAGUGAAGAAAAUAAAAAAUACUCGAAGAAUAUGUCCUCCAUUGACAGGCUAACCCCAACAAGGCUAUAGAUUAAAUUACCGUCAUCUUCUCCGCAGGCAUGAGAAAGAGGAAGAAGAAGCGGGUGUCACAUGUACUGGAUGAAGAAGAGCAACAAGUACAAAAAAAGCUUCUUCUUGCCUGAAAUGGGGUUCAAAGAGCAAGCCAGCUGUCUGAAUCAGAAGAAGCUCGCCGUCUAUACUGUCUUGGCGUUUCUACUCAUCGCUCUGUUUCGCCUCUGGUUUUAUUACCCAUUUUCCGCCAUUGAUGGAACUCUCCUCCAAGAUUCAGCUCAUAUCGUGAUCAACAGCUACUCUUCUUCUUCUUCUUCUUCCCCAGAAGAAGAAGCUGCAGGCCAAAAGAACAAGCCUUUAUGCGAUUACACUGACGGCAAAUGGGUCCGAGGUGAGAUGGGUCCACUGUACAACGGCACGACCUGUGGAACAAUAAAGGAUGGUCAGAACUGCCUCCGCCAUGGCCGACCUGAUUCGGGUUAUCUUUACUGGAAAUGGAAACCGAACCAAUGCGAUAUUCCGAGGUUCGACCCGACCCGAUUCCUCGAUCUUCUGAGAGACAAACACUUGGCUUUUAUCGGGGACUCCAUGGCCAGAAACCAGCUCGAGUCUCUGCUCUGUAUGCUUGCCACCUUCUCCACACCGAAUCUCGUCUACAGAAACGGCGAAGACAAUAAGUUUCGAAGAUGGCUUUUCAAAUCCCACAACCUCACCGUCUCCGUUUACUGGUCGCCGUUUCUGGUCGCGGGCAAGGAGAAAUCGACGGAGUCUGGGUUAGACCACAACGUCCUUCAUCUAGAACGCGUUGACGAGAAGUGGGCAAAGGAUUUGGAUCAGAUGGAUGUGGUUGUUUUGUCCGUGGGACAUUGGUUUCUCCACCCGGCCAUGUAUUUAGAGUCCGGCUCUGUUUUGGGCUGCCAUUCUUGCCCCGCAAGGAACUGUACGGAAAUAGGUUUUUUCGAAGUGUUCAGAAAGGCCAUAAGAACGACGCUGAGAUCCGUGGUCAGCAAUCGUGGCCGCCACCGCCACCGCGAUGUGGUAUUGACGACGUUCUCCCCGUCACAUUUCGAGGGCCGACCUUGGGACAGCCUCGGAGCGUGCAACAUGACAGAACCGUACGAGGGGAAGGCUCUAGAAGGAAUGGACGAGGAGAUGCGGAGGAUAGAGAUGGAAGAAGUGGCGGCCGCAAACGCAGGCACAAACACAAACGUGGAAGCGUUGGACGUGACGGGGCUGUCGAUACUGCGGCCGGACGGACAUCCGGGACCGUACAUGUACGCGUUCCCGUUCAAGAACGGCGUGCCGGAUAGAAUUCAUAAUGACUGUCUCCACUGGUGCUUGCCUGGUCCCGUUGACACGUGGAAUGAGAUCUUGCUCGAGGUUUUGCGGCGAUGGAUGGAUCAUGUCUGGUGAUGAUUGCGGAACUCAUCAUACUUGAUGUCAUCAUGUUCCCGAUUUCGCGGAUAAAAAGCUUUUGCACAACAAUGAACUUGGAGGAGGAUACGGGAAGAAUGCAUGGUAAUAUGGCCAUAACAAUGAUGAUGGCUAUGGUGAUGAUGAUGUUGACAAUGGAUGAUGAUGAAUGGUGUGGAUAUACAAUUGGCAAGAAGAAGGAUUUUGAGUUGUUGUGAGGUUUUGGUGGGUUGUGUGAUGAACCACACGGUACAUAAAGAGACAAUCUUGUCUUGAUUCAAGAUUUUCUUUCCAGAGGAAUCUUAUCAUAUUUUUUCCAUAACCAUUAAAAGAAAAUACUAACAUUUGCAAGCUGCA